AUUGAACGCUGGCGGCAUGCUUUACACAUGCAAGUCGAACGGUAACAGGCCGCAAGGUGCUGACGAGUGGCGAACGGGUGAGUAAUGCAUCGGAACGUGCCCAGUCGUGGGGGAUAACUACUCGAAAGAGUAGCUAAUACCGCAUACGAUCUAUGGAUGAGAGCGGGGGACCGUAAGGCCUCGCGCGAUUGGAGCGGCCGAUGUCAGAUUAGGUAGUUGGUGGGGUAAAGGCUCACCAAGCCAACGAUCUGUAGCUGGUCUGAGAGGACAACCAGCCACACUGGGACUGAGACACGGCCCAGACUCCUACGGGAGGCAGCAGUGGGGAAUUUUGGACAAUGGGCGCAAGCCUGAUCCAGCAAUGCCGCGUGCAGGAAGAAGGCCUUCGGGUUGUAAACUGCUUUUGUACGGAACGAAACGGCUCUGGUUAAUACCCGGGGCUAAUGACGGUACCGUAAGAAUAAGCACCGGCUAACUACGUG
rnacentral:rRNA from 1 species